rnacentral:rRNA from 1 species
AGUGGGUAGUCCGCACGAGCGCACCNCGAUCCUUAGUUGCCAGCAUUCAGUUGGGCACUCUAAGGAGACUGCCGGUGACAAACCGGAGGAAGGUGGGGACGACGUCUAGUCAUCAUGGCCCUUACGUGUAGGGCUACACACGUGCUACAAUGGCAUUUACAGAGGGAAGCGAGACAGUGAUGUGGAGCGGACCCCUUAAAGAAUGUCGUAGUCCGGAUUGGAGUCUGCAACUCGACUCCAUGAAGUCGGAAUCGCUAGUAAUCGCAGGUCAGAAUACUGCGGUGAAUACGUUCCCGGGCCUUGUACACACCGCCCGUCACACCAUGGGAGUAGGAUGCAAAAGAAGUAGUUAGUCUAACCUUCGGGAGGACGAUUACCACUUUGUGUUUCAUGACUGGGGUGAAGUCGUAACAAGGUANCUGUAGGAGAACCUGUGGCUGGAUCACCUCCUUU